UACGUAGGGUGCAAGCGUUAAUCGGAAUUACUGGGCGUAAAGCGUGCUUAGGCGGUUUUGUAAGUCUGUCGUGAAAUCCCCGGGCUUAACCUGGGAAUUGCGAUGGAGACUGCAAGGCUGGAGUCUGGCAGAGGGGGGUAGAAUUCCACGUGUAGCAGUGAAAUGCGUAGAGAUGUGGAGGAACACCGAUGGCGAAGGCAGCCCCCUGGGUCAAGACUGACGCUCAUGCACGAAAGCGUGGGGAGCAAACAGG
rnacentral:rRNA from 1 species